UUAGUGGCGGACGGGUGAGUAACGCGUGAGUAACCUGCCUUUCAGAGGGGGAUAACAGUUGGAAACGACUGCUAAUACCGCAUAACGUAUCGUUAUCGCAUGGUAAUGAUACCAAAGCUGAGGCGCUGAAAGAUGGACUCGCGUCUGAUUAGAUAGUUGGUGGGGUAACGGCCUACCAAGUCGACGAUCAGUAGCCGGACUGAGAGGUUGAACGGCCACAUUGGGACUGAGACACGGCCCAGACUCCUACGGGAGGCAGCAGUGGGGAAUAUUGCACAAUGGGCGCAAGCCUGAUGCAGCAACGCCGCGUGAGGGAAGACGGUUUUCGGAUUGUAAACCUCUGUCUUUGGUGAAGAAGAAAGUGACGGUAGCCAAGGAGGAAGCCACGGCUAACUACGUGCCAGCAGCCGCGGUAAUACGUAGGUGGCAAGCGUUGUCCGGAAUUACUGGGUGUAAAGGGAGCGCAGGCGGGACUGCAAGUUGGAUGUGAAAUACCGCAGCUUAACUGCGGAGCUGCAUCCAAAACUGUAGUUCUUGAGUGGAGUAGAGGUAGGCGGAAUUCCGAGUGUAGCGGUGAAAUGCGUAGAUAUUCGGAGGAACACCGAUGGCGAAGGCAGGUCUCUGGGCUGUAACUGACGCUGAGGAGCGAAAGCAUGGGGAGCGAACAGGAUUAGAUACCCUGGUAGUCCAUGCCGUAAACGUUGGGCACUAGGUGUGGGGGACAUUCCACGUUUUCCGCCCCGUAGCUAACACAUUAAGUGCCCCGCGGGGGGAGUACGGCCGCAAGGCUAAAACUCAAAGGAAUUGACGGGGGCCCGCACAAGCGGCGGAGCAUGCGGAUUAUUUCGAUGCAACGCGAAGAACCUUACCAAGGCUUGACAUGAACCGGAAAGGCCUGGAAACAGGUCCCCCACUUGUGGCCGGUUUACAGGCGGUGCAUGGUUGUCGUCAGCUCGUGUCGUGAGAUGUUGGGUUAAGUCCCGCAACGAGCGCAACCCUCGUUCUAUGUUGCCAGCGGGUUAUGCCGGGGACUCAUAGGAGACUGCCGGGGUCAACUCGGAGGAAGGUGGGGACGACGUCAAAUCAUCAUGCCCCUUAUGUCUUGGGCUUCACGCAUGCUACAAUGGCCGGUACAAAGGGUGGCGAUACUGUGAGGUGGAGCUAAUCCCAAAAAGCCGGUCUCAGUUCGGAUUGAGGUCUGCAACUCGACCUCAUGAAGUUGGAGUCGCUAGUAAUCGCAGAUCAGCAACGCUGCGGGGAAUACGUUCCCGGGCCUUGCACACACCGCCCCUCAAG
rnacentral:rRNA from 1 species